rnacentral:tRNA from 1 species
UGCCCCAUGGUGUAAUGGUAGCACAACUGACUCUGGAUCAGUUUGUUAAGGUUCGAAUCCUUAUGGGGCAACCA